rnacentral:tRNA from 1 species
CGCAAUGUAGCUCAAUGGCAGAGCAUCCGCUUGAUAAGCGGCAGACGAAAAGGUUCGAUUCCUUCCAUUGCGA